rnacentral:ncRNA from 1 species
UAUAAAUUGUAUUAUAAAAUUAAAUAAAAAUUAAUAAAUUUAAUUAUAGUUUUAAAGUUAAUUUUAAAAUUUAUGUAUAUAUAAAAAUUAAAUAUUUAAUAUAAAAAUUAGUAGUAUAUAAAUUUAAUAAAGUUAAAAAUAUUUAAUUUUAGGAAUUUUUAUAAUUUGGAUAAAUAAUUGUGCCAGCAAUCGUGGUUAAACAAUUUAAAUAAAUUAAUUAAAUUAAGUUAAAAUUAAAUGAAUAUUUAUAAUAAAAAUUUAAAUUGUUAGGUGAAAUUAAUUAAUUUAUAAUUAUUAUAUGUUUAAUAUAAGUUGAGUUUUUAUAAUAUUAAUAAAAAACUAGGAUUAGAUACCCUAUUAUAUAAUUUAAAGAAUAUAAUUUAAAUAGUAAAUGAUUAAUCAUUAAAUUUAAAUAAUUUGGCGGUAUUUUAAUUUUAUUAGAGGAACUUAUUAAUUAAUUGAUACUACCCAAUAAGUUAAACUUUAAUUAAAUUUUUAUAUUGUUGUUUAAAGAGUAUUUUUGGAAAAAUUAUUUAAAAUUUUUUUUUAAAAAUUAAUUCAGAUCAAAAUGGAGUGAAUAUUAAAGAAUUAAUGAGUUACAAUAAAUUAAAUUUAAAUGAAUUUAUAAUUUAAAGAUUAUAAUGAAGGCGGAUUUAAAAGUAAAAUAAAGUAAUUAUUUUAUUUGAUUAAAAUUUUAAAGUAUGUACAAAUUGCCCGUCGUUCUCUUUGAAAAAGGAGGUAAGUCGUAACAAAGUAAAAGUACUGGAAAGUGUUUUUAGAU